UACGAAGGUCCCAAGCGUUAUCCGGAUUUAUUGGGUUUAAAGGGUGCGUAGGCGGUCCUAUAAGUCAGUGCUGAAAUAUCCCGGCUUAACCGGGAGGGUGGCAUUGAUACUGUGGGACUUGAGUAAAGUUGAGGUUGGCGGAAUUGACGGUGUAGCGGUGAAAUGCUUAGAUAUCGUCAAGAACACCUAUUGCGAAGGCAGCUAACUAAGCUUUAACUGACGCUGAGGCACGAAAGUGUGGGGAUCAAACAGG
rnacentral:rRNA from 1 species